rnacentral:lncRNA from 1 species
GGGGGGAGCUCCCGCGCCGGGCGGCCCGCAACCCCCGCGCCCCACGCAGCUGUGGGUGAGAUUGACAGCGACCUGAUAGGAUUUAUUCUGCUGUUUUUAAUGCUCAAGAAGUGUUUCGUGUGAAGUAUUGGGAUGCUAUUAGAGAAAAUUUAAGUGUGUAUAUUGUGUAAAUUACCUAUACAACAUCUGUUAUCAUGCACUUUUUCUUUUUAACACCGAGAAGCGGCGUCAGAUGUCUGCAGUGCUUGGAGCUGCUCUGUCGUCAGCGGCAGGAAGUUUAGACCGGGGCAUCCACAGGAUGUUCUUUUUCAUCACCACCAGCUACAGAGAACAAGUGAUAAAUAACAGCGCCUGCAUGCACGGUCACAUACAUUUCCUCACGUAACAAUAGCCCUGAAUAUGCAGGAAGCAAGACCCAUUUGAAGCUGGGAUCAGAGAGACGUUCUCUGGCUUUUGAUGGAGAGGUCGUUGCCUUACAGAGACCCAGCCAGUGACCUUGGCUCCCAGCGCCAGCUUCUGCCAAAGAAGCCCCUGGCUCAGACCACUACGUUAGGCCAAGGAAAUCCCUUGACGACAUCUGUCCCCAGCACGGAAUCAAACUAUUAUUCAAAGGACAAACCGUCUCUUAUUAAUUAGAAGAAAUCCUAGAAGCAGCCUUGUGCACAAGGGCACGCAAGGCUUUUACUUCUCCCUUGUUGGGACACUUUGGUGAAGUACAAAAGACCGGCCCUCCCACUCGGCGCUGUUACUGAAAUGAGCUCCUUCGGAGGAGCUGUCCCAUCCCAUCCUUGGCUCCACGGACCUUGUUAUUUCAGUUCGUGGGAUGGGAAGCAAGGAUUGGGGAGAGGACCUUUAGUUCCCAGUGGGAAUUGAAUGUUCAGAAGGCAGGAGAAAAUAAAACAGACCUGACGAGGUUGACGAGGGACAACGGUGAGUUUCCCUUACCAGCUUUCGACUGGCCAGAGAUGCAAGCAGAUGUGGGGUGCACAUUACUAAAUCUUUGGAGUCCUCAUUCUUCCGCGCCCCAUCAUGGAGCUAUCAGCACCACCAUUUUACAGAUGAGGAAACUGAGAAAAUCAUACAGCUAAGUGACAGACACAAGAUUCAAACCAGGUGUCUCUGACAUUAGAGCAGAAUCUCUUUAGUCCUGUGCUAUACUGCCUCCAUUAAAAAUCAUGUUUGAGGGGCUGGCCCCGUGGCCGAGUGGUUGGGUUCGCGCGCUCCGCUGCAGGCGGCCCAGUGUUUCAUUGGUUCGAAUCCUGGGCGUGGACAUGGCACUGCUCAUCAGACCACGCUGAGGCAGCGUCCCACAUGCCACAACUAGAAGAACCCACAACGAAGAAUACACAACUAUGUACCGGGGGGCUUUGGGGAGAAAAAG